UUAAAAAACGUUUUACUUUUUGAGUGGAAUGCAGUUAUUUGAAAUAAAUUUUGCACUACCAAACCGUUAGAGCAAAAUCUUCCAACAUGCGAUAGAUAUGAAUUACCUAAAAAUUCGCACAAUCCUAAAAAACAUAUAGCCAAUGAUAAUUAUUUGCUCACCAAUUUAUUAGAAGCAGAUACAAAGUGUUUCUUUUGAAAGUAAUAUAAGUUUAAGUAUAAACUUUUUAAAUCUAUAUAUUUUAUAUAUCUACUGUAUCCUUUCAUUCUACAAAAAAUAAAUCUGUCGUUUCUUAUUUCAGCUACCUACAAACCAGUUUGCGUCGACGCAGAUUGGACAUUUUCCUUCAAUAAACAAGGAUGGUCAGUCUGUAGCACAAAAAACAACUCUAUCACUGGCUUUUAUCGCAAUGCCCUAAUAGACUAUGAUGGAAUUAACCGUCUUGAGAAAGCAAAAUGCUGUACAUCUAGUCCAAAAUAUUUUGCAGAGAAAGGUGUUUGUCAACGCGCUAAUUGGCGUCAUUCUUUAGACAAACCAGGCAAUUGGGGUGUUUGUGCAGAUGGAUAUUUUCUAAAUGGUUUGUAUCGUUCAAGUGGCAAUCACUUAUCUAGCAUUGAAUAUGGACAUUGUUGCAAACCAGUUAGUCAUCCCGAGAAGUAUGGUGAUUGUUACCAUGAAUAUAUCAAAAAUGAUUUCAACAAACAGGGAUGGGCAAUGUGUAAAAAAGAUGGCUACUACGUCACUGGGAUAAGACGAGAUUACAUAGGGAAUCGGCUUCAUAAUAUUGAUUUUUUCAAGUGCUGUAAUAUGAGGAGUGGCUGAAGCUUUUUACCAUUGGUUUAAUCAGUAAAAAGUUUUGAAUAUAGAUGAAAUGUUUGUUUAGGAUACUUUUUGUAUCUAAUAUGUUGAAAUUUAAAUUUUUUUUAAAACGUUGAAAGAAACAAUUCGUAGUUAGACAAGCUUUCUUUUAACUUAGCUUCUCUUGCUAAAUAAUGCAACACGCCUUAGAUGAUUAUAUGGCAUUGUUCACGUGGCAUCGAUCUACAAAUCUGCUUGAAUCAUGAAAACAUCGCUAUUUAUAGAUGUAUAUAUUUAUAUGUACAAGGAUGUACGAUUUAAUUUAACUAUCUUGCAAAUAAAUAAUUAUUCGGAUAUAGUGUGUUUAAAACCCCACAUCAUGCCACGUACAUAAUUUUUUCAAAACACCGUGUAAUGAUUAAAGAUACUUAACAUAUGCA